UACCCGCUGAAUUUAAGCAUAUCAAUAAGCGGAGGAAAAGAAACCAACAGGGAUUNCCUUAGUAGCGGCGAGUGAAGCGGCAAAAGCUCAAAUUUGAAAUCUGGCACCUUCGGKGUCCGAGUUGUAAUUUGAAGAUUGUAACCUUGGGGUUGGCUCUUGUCUAUGUUUCUUGGAACRGGACGUCACAGAGGGUGAGAAUCCCGUGCGAUGAGAUGCCCAAUCCUAUGURAGGUGCUUUCGAAGAGUCGAGUUGUUUGGGAAUGCACCUCUMAGUGGGUGGUAAAUUCCAUCUAAAGCUAAAUAUUGGCGAGAGACCGAUAGCGAACAAGUACAGUGAUGGAAAGAUGAAAAGAACUUUGAAUGAGAGAGUUA
rnacentral:rRNA from 1 species